GAGUUUGAUUCUGGCUCAGGACGAACGCUGGCGGCGUGCUUAACACAUGCAAGUCGAACGGACCGCUUACUGUGCUUGCGCGGUGGGUUGGUUAGUGGCGAACGGGUGAGUAACACGUGAGUAACCUGCCCCCUUCUUCGGGAUAACGUUCGGAAACGGAUGCUAAUACCGGGUAUUCACUCUUCAUCGCAUGGUGGGGGGUGGAAAGGUUUUUUCUGGUGGGGGAUGGGCUCGCGGCCUAUCAGCUUGUUGGUGGGGUGAUGGCCUACCAAGGCUUUGACGGGUAACCGGCCUGAGAGGGUGACCGGUCACAUUGGGACUGAGAUACGGCCCAGACUCCUACGGGAGGCAGCAGUGGGGAAUUUUGCACAAUGGGCGAAAGCCUGAUGCAGCGACGCCGCGUGAGGGAUGACGGCCUUCGGGUUGUAAACCUCUUUCGCUCAUGGUCAAGGCUAGUUGUUGUUCUAGUGAG
rnacentral:rRNA from 1 species